CCACCUUCGGUAGUAGAUAUAUUAAAAUUGGAAUGAUGCAGAGAAGAUUAGCAUGGCCCCUGCACAAGAAUGAAAUGCAAAUUCAUGAAGUGUUCCAUAUUUUC